CAGUCAUUAUUUCUUUCUCUCUUUUUUUUUUUUUUUUUGUCAACUGUGAGAAAAAUGGGCGAGAAAAUGGAACAGGACAGGCGCAACGGAACAAUAACAUCAAUUGAAAGCAGUCUCGGGUGCUCCGAGCCUGACAGUGAAACACAUGCAGUCCUUAAAUCCUUCGUUGGCAUUCUUGGCUUUUGUCCCUGCCCUUGCAGUAGCCGCCCUGUCUUGCAUGGGUUUUUACUUCAGCGUCGUUCCCUAUUGCCUCUUUUCCUCCAAAAAUCCACGUAUUUUGUAUGUGUUUUCAAAUCUUGGCUCCUGUUUGGAAUCACGUACAAGACUUUUAAGAAAGAAAGAAAAAAAGAGUCUAUGGGUUCCAUAGCCAUAGAUUCAGAUGCAAUUGUUCUUACGUGAUGUCUGGGCUUCGAGUUUUUGUUCUUUUUUUUUUUUUAAUAGUCACCUAGCGAUUCUAACGCACAACUCACGGAGAAAUUCACUGUUAAAAGCGUCUGUUUCUGUGACCCUACCUAAACAUCGUUUUGCAGCUUCAUCUCCCGCAGGUGUAACAGAUGCUCAUGCUGAUCCGAAGGACUGAGAAGACUUUAUAGCACAUCCUCUGAAGCAGUAGUGUCAAUCCAAGGCUCAGUUGCUCUCUGGGGAACAUUGGACAACCUCUGAAGACACUUAAGAGUUUUCAGAGUUUGUCUGUGUAACAGUCCUGGCUGUCCUGGAAUUGGCUUUGUAGACCACCCUGUUCUUGGACUCACAGAUAUGCUGCCCCUGGGAAGCCUGCCUCUGCUUCCCAUGUGCUGAGACUAAAGGCAUGCACUGCCAUGCCUGGCUGGCCGUAGUCUUAAUAUUGUCCUUAGCAGCUUUUA